rnacentral:antisense_RNA from 1 species
UUGACCGUCCACUCCCACCGCGCGUCCGCGUUCACCAGCAUCUGCUCGCCGACGUACUCGCCGUCGGCCAGCACCCCGAGGCGCGUCUCGUUGCCGUACGCCCCCUCGCCGAGCCUGUCCACCUUGCCGUGGGCGAGGAGCACGACCUCGUCCAUCGGGGUGCCGGCCCGCGCGAUGACCUGGCCGGCCUCGUACUCCCGCUGGAUGAACAGGUCGGCCAUGGCGGCGAGCACGUCGGCGUCGCCGAAGCCGUGCAGGGCAGGAAGCUCGCACAACUCGGCGGAGAUGACCCGCACGUCCGCCCCGGUCGAGACGAACGUCACCCGCCCGUCGGCCAUCUGGUAGGUCAGCCGCCGGUUGACCCGGUAGGCGCCGCCCACCGCCUCGACCCAGGGCAGCACGCGCAGCAGAUGCCGGGAGGUGAUCUCCUGCAUCUGCGGCGGCGUCUUGGUCGUGGUGGCCAGGUUGCGCGCGGCCCUGGUGCUGAGGCUCAACCGGUUGUCGGU